rnacentral:rRNA from 1 species
ACUCCUACGGGAGGCAGCAGUGGGGAAUAUUGGACAAUGGGCGCAAGCCUGAUCCAGCCAUGCCGCGUGAGUGAUGAAGGCCCUAGGGUUGUAAAGCUCUUUCACCGGUGAAGAUAAUGACGGUAACCGGAGAAGAAGCCCCGGCUAACUUAGUGCCAGCGCAGCCGCCGGGUAAUACGAAGGGGCGUAGCGUUGUUCGGGAUUUACUGGGCGUAAAGCGCACGUAGGCGGACUUUUAAGUCAGGGGUGAAAUCCCGGGGCUCAACCCCGG